ACUCAAAGGAAUUGACGGGGGCCCGCACAAGCGGUGGAGCAUGUGGUUUAAUUCGAUGCAACGCGAAGAACCUUACCUACCCUUGACAUCCUAAGAAUCUGGCAGAGAUGCCGGAGUGCCGAAAGGAAUUUAGAGACAGGUGCUGCAUGGCUGUCGUCAGCUCGUGUUGUGAGAUGUUGGGUUAAGUCCCGUAACGAGCGCAACCCUUAUCCUUAGUUGCCAACAUGUAAUGGUGGGGACUCUAAGGAGACUGCUGGUGAAGAACCGGAGGAAGGUGGGGACGACGUCAAGUCAUCAUGGCCUUUAUGGGUAGGGCCACACACGUGCUACAAUGGGUCGUACAGAGGGGAGCGAACCUGCGAAGGGGAGCCAAUCUCGCAAAACGACUCGUAGUCCGGAUUGGAGUCUGCAACUCGACUCCAUGAAGUUGGAAUCGCUAGUAAUCGCGAAUCAGAAUGUCGCGGUGAAUACGUUCCCGGGCCUUGUACACACCGCCCGU
rnacentral:rRNA from 1 species